AAACGCCAGUCUCUUUUCUCCCGCCAUCUUUGCCCCUCCACCCUCGCUUCAUGCAACAGUGACGUUGGCAUAAACACGUUCCUGGAUGGGAGGGAGUAACCGUCGAAUGUCUGGCAUCUCUCUGGUAUUCCCGGAAAUGGAUGUUCCCCAAGCCACAGUUUUUAAGAGAGCCAGCCCUGUAGUCUCACCUCUGUGACCUCUGUGACCAUCCUAUGGUCGGUUGGAUGGUGUCCUGCUGGAGCAAACACGUGAAGGAGCGUUUUGUUAAAGUGGAUACAGGUAUGAAAGGCUAAGGUAGACUCGUGAAGCAGACACAGGAGAGAGGAUAUUCUGUUAAAGCAAGCAUGCGAAAGGACACGUGAUGUAGGAUUCUUUGCUAAUGACACACAUGUAUUGGUUCACCUUACAUUGCAUAGUUGAGCUCCAUUUGUCAGGACUCCAUAGAGAGAAACACAACGAAAACUUGUGUUAGUGUGCUGAAGUUGUGGCUUCCAAGGACUCUGGCUGAUUGGAUGCCUGUGCUGAGGUACAGCACGUGGAGGACACGUGGUGUUUGGAGGGUAUACAUAGGACUCCAGGGAGUGAUGGAGACAGAGCUUGGCUUGCUGGUACAGCUAGCUGUGCCAUGCUUGUGGGUCUCCAGUCUUCGCUGAUCUUCACUGCCCUGAGAGAGGCACAGCCUUUCUCCUGGUGUUCCUUCUGGUCUCUCCUGUUGACUUGAGCAGAGGCUGAGGCCUGGCUGUCUCUGCUAGCUCCUAUCACUGCUGUUGCUAACCUGACUCUCCUGAACUGGAUGCUGGUGUAUCCGUGAGGUGUUUGUGAGUGGACUGAGCUAUGGAGCUGCUGCUGCCUGCCGACCUGUGAACUGAAUGCUGACUUCCAAACAACACAGACGGGAGUUGCUCCAAGGAACCCUUCUAAACAGACAGAAACUUAUUGUAAAGAAGCACCAGAGGCUGGAGAGACAGCUCAGCAGUUAAGAGCACUGACUGCUCUUCCAGAGGUCCUGAGUUCAAUUCCCUGCAACCACAUGGUGACUCACAACCAUCUGUAAUGGGAUCUGGUGCCCUCUUCUGGUGUGUCUGAAGACAGUGACAGUGUACUCAUAUACAUAAAAUAAAUCUUAAAAUCUUUUUAAAA